GAGACCGCGACUGCUGCUGGGCUGCCUGCGGCACCGGCAGCAGUCCUGGCACUGGUAUGCCGUAGCUUGACACGCUGGCAGGAUCGUAGGCACUGGGCGGGUAUGCGCUGGGCGGCGGGGGAUACGUGACACCGGAAGGGCAAUGAGGGUGGUAGUUAGCGGCAGCGGUGGCCAUUGUGUCUUUGUUGUCAGCCGCUACUUGCGAGAAGCGAUGAUAUAUGUUGGAGUAUUGGGCUGUACGGUCAAGCGGGGACAAGUGCCAGCAUUGUAGUGCGUGGCAGUACGGCUACACCGGCCCAUCCGCCAUCCACCUGUGUGUCACCCGUAGGGUGGUGGCUGCGGAGUGGCCGACCGCCGGACCGGCAUUGUGGCCUCGGGCCGGCGAACAUGCCCUGCGCGCAUGCAGCUGUAUGCUGCCAGUCA
rnacentral:lncRNA from 1 species